UUAUGGCCAUAUCACAUUGAAAUACUGGUUUCUGUAUGAUCACCGAAGUUAAGCAACAUCAAGCCUGAUCAGUACCUAGAUGGGUAGCCACUUGGGAAUACAAGAUGUUGUAA